rnacentral:rRNA from 1 species
UGAAGUNAAAGGCUGUGGCUUAACCAUAGUACGCUUUGGAAACUGUUUAACUUGAGUGCAAGAGGGGAGAGUGGAAUUCCAUGUGUAGCGGUGAAAUGCGUAGAUAUAUGGAGGAACNCCGGUGGCGAAAGCGGCUCUCUGGCUUGUAACUGACGCUGAGGCUCGAAAGCGUGGGGAGCAAACAGGAUUAGAUACCNUGGUAGUCCACGCCGUAAACGAUGAGUGCUAGGUGUUAGACCCUUUCCGGGGUUUAGUGCCGUAGCUAACGCAUUAAGCACUCCGCCUGGGGAGUACGACCGCAAGGUUGAAACUCAAAGGAAUUGACGGGGGCCCGCACAAGCGGUGGAGCAUGUGGUUUAAUUCGAAGCAACGCGAAGAACCUUACCAGGUCUUGACAUCCCUCUGACCGCUCUAGAGAUAGAGUUUUCCUUCGGGACAGAGGUGACAGGUGGUGCAUGGUUGUCGUCAGCUCGUGUCGUGAGAUGUUGGGUUAAGUCNNNNAACGAGCGCAACCCCUAUUGUUAGUUGCCAUCAUUCAGUUGGGCACUCUAGCGAGACUGCCGGUAAUAAACCGGAGGAAGGUGGGGAUGACGUCAAAUCAUCAUGCCCCUUAUGACCUGGGCUACACACGUGCUACAAUGGCUGGUACAACGAGUCGCGAGUCGGUGACGGCAAGCUAAUCUCUUAAAGCCAGUCUCAGUUCGGAUUGUAGGCUGCA